CAGAAAAUAGUUUAUUUAAAAUAUUAAUUUUGGAGAUUAAAGAUAGUUAUUAAUUUUUUCUGA
rnacentral:tRNA from 1 species